rnacentral:rRNA from 1 species
CCUACGGGAGGCAGCAGUGGGGAAUAUUGCACAAUGGGGGAAACCCUGAUGCAGCGACGCCGCGUGAAGGAAGAAGUAUUUCGGUAUGUAAACUUCUAUCAGCAGGGAAGAAAAUGACGGUACCUGACUAAGAAGCCCCGGCUAACUACGUGCAAGCAGCCGCGGUAAUACGUAGGGGGCAAGCGUUAUCCGGAUUUACUGGGUGUAAAGGGAGCGUAGGCGGUUUAGCAAGUCAGAAGUGAAAGCCCGGGGCUCAACUCCGGGACUGCAUUUGAAACUGUUGAACUAGAGUGCAGGCGAGGUAGGUGGAAUUCCUGGUGUAGCGGUGAAAUGCGUAGAUAUUAGGAAGAACACCAAUGGCGAAGGCAGCUUACUGGACUGUAAAUGACGCUGAGGCUCGAAAGCGUGGGGAGCAAACAGGAUUAGAUACCCCAGUAGUC